UAAGGAAUAUUGGUCAAUGGACGGAAGUCUGAACCAGCCAUGCCGCGUGGAGGAUGAAGGUCCUCUGGAUUGUAAACUUCUUUUAUAGGGGGCGAAAAAAGGCCAUUCUUGGUCGUCUGACGGUACCCUAUGAAUAAGCACCGGCUAACUCCGUGCCAGCAGCCGCGGUAAUACGGAGGGUGCAAGCGUUAUCCGGAUUCACUGGGUUUAAAGGGAGCGUAGGCGGGCAUGUAAGUCCGUGGUGAAAGCCCUCAGCUUAACUGAGGAACUGCCAUGGAUACUAUAUGUCUUGAAUGUCGUUGAGGUUUGCGGAAUAGGUCAUGUAGCGGUGAAAUGCUUAGAUAUGACCUGGAACACCUAUUGCGAAGGCAGCAGGCUAAACGAAUAUUGACGCUGAGGCUCGAAAGCGUGGGGAUCAAACAGG
rnacentral:rRNA from 1 species